rfam:Ovis aries breed Texel chromosome 13, whole genome shotgun sequence.
UCCUUGGUGGCUCAGAUGGUAAAGAAUCUGCCUGCAAUGCAGGAGACCUAGGUUUGAACCCUGGGUCAGGAA